UGGGGAAUAUUGCACAAUGGGCGAAAGCCUGAUGCAGCAACGCCGCGUGAGUGAUGAAGGUCUUCGGAUUGUAAAGCUCUGUCUUUUGGGACGAUAAUGACGGUACCAAAGGAGGAAGCCACGGCUAACUACGUGCCAGCAGCCGCGGUAAUACGUAGGUGGCGAGCGUUGUCCGGAUUUACUGGGCGUAAAGGGUGCGUAGGCGGAUGUUUAAGUGAGAUGUGAAAUACCCGGGCUUAACUUGGGUGCUGCAUUUCAAACUGGAUAUCUAGAGUGCAGGAGAGGAGAAUGGAAUUCCUAGUGUAGCGGUGAAAUGCGUAGAGAUUAGGAAGAACACCAGUGGCGAAGGCGAUUCUCUGGACUGUAACUGACGCUGAGGCACGAAAAGCGUGGGUAGCAAACAGGAUUAGAUACCCUGGUAGUCCACGCCGUAAACGAUGAGUACUAGGUGUAGGAGGUAUCGACCCCUUCUGUGCCGCAGUAAACACAUUAAGUACUCCGCCUGGGAAGUACGAUCGCAAGAUUAAAAACUCU
rnacentral:rRNA from 1 species